UAGGGAAUCUUCGGCAAUGGGGGCAACCCUGACCGAGCAACGCCGCGUGAGUGAAGAAGGUUUUCGGAUCGUAAAGCUCUGUUGUAAGAGAAGAACGUGUGUGAGAGUGGAAAGUUCACACAGUGACGGUAACUUACCAGAAAGGGACGGCUAACUACGUGACAG
rnacentral:rRNA from 1 species